AAACCAUGAUUCGGAGACCUCAUCAAAUAUUUCUUGAACCCCUCCGAAGCUUCAUAAAUUUAUUCCCCUGGUAGCUACAUGAAAUCAAAGAUCUUGUCUCUAAGAUC